AAAAUUUGCUGGGAACGGGCCGCACGCUUCCUCUCUUAAGGCCCCUCUUUAGAUUAUGACACGUCAUCAUCCGCACGCAUCUCAAAGCUGCUUGGAAUCCCCUAAUCAGUCGAUACGUAUCUGCAGCUGGGCGUAGUGCUGUGUACAGUAUAGUCUUUGUAAUCGUACACUUCCAUGAAAAGAAAGCACAGCGCCCUAGUGCAUCUGCAUCUCACGGACACGCCGGCGCCGGCGCCGGCGACCGUCCGCCUCAUCGCCGUGAUUUUCCGGUGACUACCUGCCCCAGCUUGGUAUCUCCGUGUUGCGGAAGCGAUGGACCUGUGAGCGCCCGAUUCCUCACCGCCGCCUUCUGCUGACAAGCCGCCCCGCCGCGGCUGUGUUGCUUCUCGCGGAAGCGACGGCGCCAUCGUGCGCCCGAAUCCAAUGCAGUGAACUUGUUCAGUAAUUUUAGACUUCCUCACAUUCAGCUAGCAAAGCUUUGAUCUUCCAUGUAUAGAAAGCUUGCUAGUAGAGCGCUAGAAUGCUAGCAAGGUUCCCUCGGUUCCAAACAUCUUUGAAGAUGCAUAUAAAGCUUGUCGGCUGGGGUUCCAGAUCCCUUUACAUGAUCUCUCAUCUUGGAGUUUGACAAUACAGGUGUGAUCGAUGCAAUCCAAAAACAGAGUUUGCUUGUUUCGAGUGUAGAAAAAUAGGAAGGAUGUAAUUGAGCAGCUUACUUUGUAGCUGCUUUAGCUAGAAGUUCAAGGCAAAAAAGUUUCUGGUUGGGGUCUAUCCCAAACAGUUUACCUGAUGUAUUUGUCGAGUCUGUAAACUUUGUCAAUUACUGAUCAAUGAAAAAAAAAUCCGCAAAAAGGAACAAUUGUUA